GAGGUCUAACAUCAACUGUAUACCUAAUCUCAUCUAUUGAUGUUGACCUUUUCCUCAAGGGUCUGAUUAGUUCAUUGUAUUGAGCAUUCACAUUUUCAAAAGCUAAAGACUGGUUUGGUGCCUUUCUUGUUGAUGGAUCCAAUAUACUCCUUUUUAACAGUGAAAGUCAAUCUUUGUAAAAUGUCAGAGAAUGUUUCCUUUGGACCUUGGAGGACUUGAGAAAAUGGGUGAGAAGAGGUACUCAAAAGAAUGGAUGCAGUGAGAGGAUCUGCCUGGAAAGAAGCCAGGAUUUGUGGUCCAGGCAGUCUUCCAUCCAGGAGACCUGGCAAGGAGGAUGUCAAAGCAACAGACCGUGGCGUGGCCUCACACUCCCGUCUUGUGACGCUUCUCAUUGACAAAGGCAGGCUACAAUAAAGAAAGCAGAGAAAUAUUGAUUGGAGAUGCUCUCUGUUCUUGUCAGUCAUGCUUCAGUUAAGGCACUUAGGUGAAAAUCACAGAAGUCAUCUCUACAGCUUAAAGCUGAACAUGAAGUUUGUUGGAGGGUUAUGUUCCAAAGUCUCUGAUAACCAGAGGCUCAGUCGUCCUGCAGCCAGGAAGCAGUGCCUCCUUCUUAGAAGGCUGCAUGCAGAGUCUAGGCUCUGAAGUUUUCAGGGACCAUUAGGAGCAGGACCACUGUCAUAGCCGCCUUCCAAGGCUCACUGGCUAUUGUCUUUGCCAGCACUGAUUCAGCACUAUACCCCAUUCCUCAUAUACUGCAUCUACUUUAAAACUCAUGGCUCACAGGAAUCCAUUGGAGAGGCUCAGCUUCUGAAGCAAUUUCAUAGCCUUAAAGGAAGCCAGUAGAAUGAUUUCUAGCUUUUACCCGGGGAGACACAAAUUCUCUAACAUAGGUUAAGAUUUAAAAAACAAAACAAAACAAACUUUGGUCCAUUUUGUUUUGUUAUAACGAAAUGCUUGAGGCUGGGUACUUUAUAAGAAAAAAGUGUGAUUGUCUUAUAAUUCUGGUAAGUGGAAGUAUAAGUGGCAAGGUAUCUGAUAACUGGUAUUAGAUAGGGAACUCUGGAUAGGUCACAACAUGGCAGAAAAGCAGAACCAGACAUGUGCAGAAUGGUUACAUAAUUGCACAAGAAGACAAAAUACUAGGGGGUGGGGGAGAGUUAAGUUCACUCUUUAAACAAUUGUACUUUCCAGAAACUAAAACACAUGGGACUUGGUCUACUCUGAAACUACACCUUUGAUCUAUCCAUAAGGAUAGUGACCCCUGAUUGGCCACAAGGCUUAACCGCUUAAAGAUACCACAACUCCUUGCCUUGAAGAUAUUGGCACAGGGGAAAAAUUCCUGAAUAGAACAGCAAUGGCUUGUGCUGUAAGAUCGAGAAUUGACAAAUGGGACCUCAUAAAAUUACAAAGCUUCUGUAAGGCAAAAGACACUGCCAAUAAGACAAAAAGGCCACCAACAGAUUGGGAAAGGAUCUUUACCAAUCCUAAAUCAGAUAGGGGACUAAUAUCUAAUAGAUAUAAAGAACUCAAGAAGGUAGACUCCAGAAAAUCAAAUAACCCCAUUAAAAAUGGGGCUCAGAACUUAAAAAAGAAUUCUCACCUGAGGAAUACCAAAUGGCUGAGAAGCACCUGAAAAAAUGUUCAGCAUCCUUAAUCAUCAGGGAAAUGCAAAUCAAAACAACCCUGAGAUUCCACCUCACACCAGUCAGAAUGGCUAAGACCAAAAAUUCAGGUGACAGCAGAUGCUGGCGAGGAUAUGGAGAAAGAGGAACACUCUUCCAUUGUUGGUGGGAUUGCAAGCUUGUACAACCACUCUGGAAAUCAGUCUGGCAGUUCCUCAGAAAAUUGGACAUAGUACUACGGCAGGAUCACGCAAUACCUCUCCUGGGCAUAUAUCCAGAAGAUAUUCCAACCAGUAAGAAGGACACAUACUCCACUAUGUUCAUAGCAGCCUUAUUUAUAAUAGCCAGAAGCUGGAAAGAACCCAGAUGUCCCUCAACAGAGGAAUGGAUACAGAAAAUUAUUUACACAAUGAAGUACUACUCAUCUAUGAAGAAGAAUGAAUUUAUGAAAUUCCUAGGCAAAUGGAUGGACCUGGAGGGCAUCAUCCUGAGUGAGGUAACCCAAUCACAAAAGAACUCACAUGAUAUGUACUCACUGAUAAGUGGGUAUUAGCCCAGAAACUUAGAAUACCCAAGAUACAAGAUACAAUUUGCAAAACACAUGAAACUGAAGAAGAAAGAAGACCAAAGUGUGGACACUUUGCCCCUUCUUAUAAUUGGGAACAAAACACCCAUGGAAGGAGUUACAGAGACAAAGUUUGGAGCUGAGACGAAAGGAUGGACCAUCUAGAGACUGCCAUACCCGGGGAUCCAUCCCAUAAUCAGCCUCCAACUGCUGACACCAUUGCAUACACCAGCAAGAUUUUGCUGAAAGGACCCUGAUAUAGCUGUCUCUUGUGAGGCUAUACCAGGACCUGGCAAACACAGAAGUGGGUGCUCACAGUAAGCUAUUGGAUGAAACACAGGGCCUCCAAUGGAGGAGCUAGAGAAAGUACCCAAGGAGCUAAAGGGAUCUGCAACCCUAUAGGUGGGACAACAAUAUGAACUAAUCAGUACCCCCUGGAGCUCAUGUCUCUAGUUGCAUAUGUAUCAGAAGAUGGUCUAGUCAGCCAUCAUUGGGAAGAGAGGCCCCUUGGUCUUGCAAACUUUAUAUGCCCCCGUACGGGGGAACGCCAGUGCCAAGAAGUGGGAGUGGGUGGGUAGGGGAGUGUGGGGGGAGGGUCUGGGGGACUUUUGGGAUAACAUUUGAAAUGUAAAUGAAGAAAAUACCUAAUUAAAAUAAUAAAUUAGAAAAAGCAAAGAAAAAAAAUAAGGUACCACAACUCCACUAACAUCACACUGAGGACCAAGCUUUUUUUAGCAUGUGAACAUAUAGGGGACAGAUUAUGUCCAAAGGACAGUAUUGCCCACACCCUGGAGGCUGUCAUGGUAUGCUAAUUCUUAUCUUAAUGCCUCAUGUUGUUGACCGCAAGGACAAGGUCCCAAGCCUGGAUCCCUUAUCUGGGAACACAUGCUGGGAUCCCUUAUCUGGCCUCUCUAAGGCACCUGCAGGCCUCAGAUGACCCCCGCUCAGAUGGUGAGUAUUAGCGCUUCCAUAAACUGCUGUUGAGCUUGAUAUCUUUAAUUAUUCUGGUGAUUUUGCUGAAAUAGCACAAAAUCCCUCCUUGCUGCUGAUUAGGUCAUAUUUUCAUUUCAUCAUUUAGUCUCAUUUCUUUAUUAGAGUUUAAAUCAUAUUUAGGGUGUAUAUUUUUGAUAUUUUAAAAAUUGUAGUUUUUAAAACAUUUGCUAUUUUAUUUUAUUUAUCUCCAGGACCAUGUUUUUAUUAUGUUAAGAAGUUUUAUAGUAUUCUUUCCUCUCCAACUUUUUAUGUCAUACAUAAGGUGAAAUCCAAGAAUUACACAUCUAUACAAAUUAUUUAUGUAAUAGUUAACUCUCUUGAAUAUGAGUUUGGAAAUUUGAUAAGCUUGCUUUCAGACAUGAAGUUGGGUAGGUCAGAUGCUGAAGAAAGAAAGGGCACAUGCUCCACCAUGUUCAUAGCAGCCUUAUUUAUAAUAGCC